rnacentral:rRNA from 1 species
GACGAACGCUGGCGGCGUGCCUAAUACAUGCAAGUAGAACGCUGAAGGAGGAGCUUGCUUCUCUGGAUGAGUUGCGAACGGGUGAGUAACGCGUAGGUAACCUGCCUGGUAGCGGGGGAUAACUAUUGGAAACGAUAGCUAAUACCGCAUAAGAGUAGAUGUUGCAUGACAUUUGCUUAAAAGGUGCAAUUGCAUCACUACCAGAUGGACCUGCGUUGUAUUAGCUAGCUGGUGGGGUAACGGCUCACCAAGGCGACGAUACAUAGCCGACCUGAGAGGGUGAUCGGCCACACUGGGACUGAGACACGGCCCAGACUCCUACGGGAGGCAGCAGUAGGGAAUCUUCGGCAAUGGACGGAAGUCUGACCGAGCAACGCCGCGUGAGUGAAGAAGGUUUUCGGAUCGUAAAGCUCUGUUGUAAGAGAAGAACGAGUGUGAGAGUGGAAAGUUCACACUGCGACGGUAUCUUACCAGAAAGGGACGGCUAACUACGUG